CGGGGGCCAGGAGCUUUAUUUAGCUGCCCUGAAACCCCACAGACCUGGACAGCACUCCAAAGUGCCGUCCUUGCUGCCGAAGAGGACAAAAGCUCGUGAGCAGGCUCGGCCCCUCUGGGAAGAGAGCCA
rnacentral:sRNA from 1 species